rnacentral:lncRNA from 1 species
UCACCAGUAGGUAUAAAGCCAUCAUUGGAUCCCUUACCUAACAAUUAUUGAGCUUAACCUUAUCUUUACCUGGAACAUCUCAUGAUAUAGUAUGGAUGCAUCUUUCUUGAUGUAAUUGAACCACUGUAACCAGCCGAGAACAGUCAACAUCUGAAAGGGCCCACAUAUCUACAGCGAUGAAAGACCACUAAACUUAAUAUUUAAUUAAAAAGAUUUAUUUAGGUUUCUUAGAUCUAAUUGUUUAUUAUAUCCCAUAUAAAUCCACAAUUAGAAUGGAUCUACUAAAGCGAUCCUGAUGUGGCCUGACCAAGAUAGGACUCAUGGUGCAACACAAAUGCAGUGGACUCAACCUUAAGCACUACAAAAUCAAAAUUGAUCUCCAAAAUGAUCAAAUAAGACAAGA